rnacentral:rRNA from 1 species
GACAGAGGGGGCAAGCGUUGCUCGGAAUUACUGGGCUUAAAGGGCGCGUAGGCGGCUCCGCUAGUCGGGGGUGAAAUCCCACAGCUUAACUGUGGAAGUGCCUUCGAUACUGCGGGGCUCGAGCGAGGUAGGGGUCGAGGGAACUUCUGGUGGAGCGGUGAAAUGCGUUGAUAUCAGAAGGAACGCCGGUGGCGAAAGCGCUCGACUGGACCUCUUCUGACGCUGAGGCGCGAAAGCUAGGGGAGCAAACGGG